ACGGAAGGCAGCAGCUAAGAAUAUUCCGCAAUGGACGAAAGUCUGACGGAGCGACGCCGCGUGGAUGAUGAAGGCCGGAAGGUUGUAAAAUCCUUUUAUGACUGAGGAAUAAGUGGAGUGAGAGAAACGCUUCAUGGUGACUGUAGGUCAUGAAUAAGCAACGGCUAAUUACGUGCCAGCAGCCGCGGUAACACGUAAGUUGCGAGCGUUGUUCGGAAUUAUUGGGCGUAAAGGGCAUGUAGGCGGUUUUGCAAGCUUGGUGUGAAAGGCAGGAGCUUAACUCCUGGACUGCGUUGAGAACUGCAAGACUUGAGUCACUGAGGGGCAAUCAGAAUUCCUGGUGUAGGGGUGAAAUCUGUAGAUAUCUGGAAGAAUACCAAUGGCGAAGGCAGCCUGCCAGCAGAUGACUGACGCUGAGGUGCGAAGGUGCGGGGAGCAAACAGGAUUAGAUACCCUGGUA
rnacentral:rRNA from 1 species